UAUCAUUAAAAACUUCUUCACCUUUAGAAACUCCCUGUAGUUAACCACAGGAGACAAUAAGGUGUUUAGGAGAAGAUAAUAAUAAUAUGAGUGCCAUAAGCACAGAAUCUUAACAGUGGCCCAGCAAUUAGUACAAUUUAGGAACUACUGGUUUAGCCCAUCCCUCUCAAUAGAAAACAGAUAAGGAAACAGAGACUCAGAAUAAGGAAGAUAUUCUUUUCUAAGAUCAUACAGCUGGUUAUCAUUAAGCUCUGUUCUCCUCUGUCCCUCCUCAUCUAGGUAAUUGCAUUCGACAACAAAUUCUGCAGUGUUAAAGUGAAGGAAAUUGGAUAUAAAAUACCCAACAAUUGUGAUGUGGGCUUUCAGGAAGGUGAUGGUUCAAGAGGCUGGUGUGUACUAUAGGGGAGGCAUAGACGCAAAGACUUGUUGUAUAGCACCUUGUGCUGAAAGCCUAAACUCCUCAAUUUCUCAGGGCACCAAGAAAAAUCUUUGGGCCUGCCUCAAAGGUUGCAGUGGCAGAGAUUCCUCUGGAGUCAAGCAAAAGACGGCUCGAAUCCCAGCUUCUCAGCUUGGCAAAAAACCAUUUUCCAUGUCUCAACUCAUCUCUUUAUUCAUGCUACUCUUUACUAUUAUCAUUCCUAUAAAAUGUUAUAGGAAAAAUAAUAGCUAACAGUUAUGGAGCACUUGGUAUCUGCCAAGCACCUCUGAUGAAUUAUCUCACUUAACCCUCAAACUAACACUGGAAGGCAGUUAUUAUCGUUCCAUACGAUAGGUGAGGACAUCUGCACUCUGAAUAGUUAAUCGCUUAUCUGCAUCUAUACAACUAAGCAGGUGAUAGAAUAGGAUUCAAACCCAAGUGGCUUCAUUCCAGAGUCUGCACUUAACGCUACCGCUAUCCUGUGCGACUCAAAUGCAGAUAAGGGUUGCAAAAGCCUGGCACACUGGGGGUAAGGAAUGUCAGUGCUUUUUCCGCCAACGUGGCCGCGCGAGUCAGUUGUAACCCGGCAUCCAGAACCUUCUCCGUAGGGGCCUUGCCUGGGACUACAACUCCCAGGAUGCCGCAGGCGGAGAAGCUGGCCAAUCAGGGGGCGCGGCUUCGCCUUCACCGUCGGCUCCCUGCUCCUGUCAGAACCUCGGUGACGGUUGGCCAGGUGGGUAGUGACGGCUGCUCGGUCUUGAAGGAUCCUAAUCUGGUUUGGGAGGGUGAAGACCGCUGAAAUUUCCAGGCUGCCCGAGGCUCCACCUUCCACCACCCAACGGUGGCUCUGAAAUGAGAGAAAUUGCAGAAAUUCUCCCUGCUCAGGAAAAGGUAGAGGCAAGGAUUGACUUAAAGAUGGGUAAGAAGCGUGUUACUGAUCAUAAGCUAAAUGUGGACAAAGUAAUUAAAAAUAUUAACACAAUUUCUUCGGAGUUGAAGAAGAUAAAAGAUUUGCAUCACAUGCUGAUGCUUACAGCAGCCACAGCUAAGGGGACUGGGACUGCCAAGACCAGUUUGGACCACUCAGAACUUACUACAGGAGCUGGGGAAAGGAACACCUCAAACAAAAUCAAGCUGUGACUCCAAGAAGAAGAGGGCAUGGCCGUUCGUUAGGCACCAAAUAAUGAGUGCCUAAUAUG
rnacentral:lncRNA from 1 species